rnacentral:RNase_P_RNA from 2 species
UCACUCUAAACGCCGCACUUCCUCGCUCUACACACGAACUACUAGCAUAUACGGCCGGUUUAUGAACGCGAGGGGGUAAGGUCUGAGAAUCACUCCCAACCAAGUAGCUCUAGCGGAGCCAGGCAUUAACAAAACGUGUCUGCAACUGUAUCAGAAAAUACCUGCUCCCAGUCGACAUGCUGUGUUUUACAUGGUGUGCUCCUGGGGCAGUUGGAAGGCGGUUGCUGGGAUGACUUGGAUGUAGUGCAAUGUGCGGCUUGUUUCCUUUGUUAUAGAAGGAAGCAAAACUCGAUUCAGACUAGUCUCUGAGUGG